rnacentral:rRNA from 1 species
UACAGAGGGUGCGAGCGUUGUCCGGAAUCACUGGGCGUAAAGCGCACGUAGGCGGUCUGUUAUGUCGGAUGUGAAAGCCCUUGGCUUAACUGAGGAAGUGCAUCCGAAACUGGCAGGCUAGAGUACUAAAGAGGGUCGCGGAAUUCCCGGUGUAGAGGUGAAAUUCGUAGAUAUCGGGAGGAACACCGGUGGCGAAGGCGGCGACCUGGGUAGAUACUGACGCUGAGGUGCGAAAGCGUGGGGAGCAAACAGG